rnacentral:ncRNA from 2 species
GCCUCGCAUGAUCGCGCCGGUGCCCCGAAAGGGGCUUAAUAGGGAACACGGUAGGAAGGAUGGCACGCGCCGCCCUUCGAAGCCGAGGCUGUCCCUGCAACUGUAAGCGGUGAGCGCGAUGCACCGCCCCGGACCCGUCCGGGGCAGCCACUGGGCCCAGCCCGGGAAGGCGUGCAUCAAGCGAUGACCCGCGAGCCAGGAGACCUGCCGGCGUGGGUCGCUCAAU